GUCCCUAUAGCUAAGUGGUAUAGCAUGAGAUUGCAGAUCUUGGGGUCCGGUGUUCGAACCACCGUGGGGACU
rnacentral:tRNA from 1 species